rnacentral:rRNA from 1 species
AAUACCGCGUGGUACAUCUGUGGGGCAUCCCACGGGUGUUAAAAGGAAGCGAUUCCGGCGGAGGAUGGGCAUGCGGCGCAUUAGCUUGUUGGCGGGGUAACGGCCCACCAAGGCGACGAUGCGUAGGGGUUCUGAGAGGAAGGUCCCCCACACUGGUACUGAGACACGGACCAGACUCCUACGGGAGGCAGCAGUGAGGAAUAUUGGUCAAUGGGCGGGAGCCUGAACCAGCCAAGUCGCGUGAGGGAAGACGGUCCUAUGGAUUGUAAACCUCUUUAGGCGGGGAGCAAUGCCGGGCACGCGUGCCCGGAGGGAGAGUACCCGCAGAAUAAGCAUCGGCUAACUCCGUGCCAGCAGCCGCGGUAAUACGGAGGAUGCGAGCGUUAUCCGGAUUUAUUGGGUUUAAAGGGUGCGUAGGCGGAUUUUUAAGUCAGCGGUAAAAUGUCCGGGCUCAACCCGGGCCGGCCGUUGAAACUGGGGAUCUUGAGUGGGCGAGAAGUAUGCGGAAUGCGUGGUGUAGCGGUGAAAUGCAUAGAUAUCACGCAGAACUCCGAUUGCGAAGGCAGCAUACCGGCGCCCGACUGACGCUGAGGCACGAAAGCGUGGGGAUCGAACAGGAUUAGAUACCCUGGUAGUCCACGCAGUAAACGAUGAAUGCUAGUUGUCCGGUUCUUUGGGACUGGGUGACACAGC